UGGGAGCUCUCUUUUCUCUCUCCUUCACCCCUCCCUCCUAAGAUGGCUUGAAAAAAUUAAAAGGGGACAGUGAUGAGGGGGACAUACACACCGAAAAGCUCGGCAGGAGGGAAAAAGUUUGGGGGGUUGGGGUUUUUGUGUGUGUGUUUGGUCUUUUUGUUUGUUUGGGGUUUUUUUGUUUUGUUUUUUUAAAAGCCUUAGAAUCCCAGAAUGACCGAAACGACGACAAACACCCGGGAAGAGCAGGCACAAGGAGAGGAACGAGCGAGAGAAAAGAGUUUUGCUGGCAUGACAGAAUAUUCUGCAAUCCUCUUUCUCCCUUAGAGGCAUAAUUACUAUGGGGAACCUGCUGGCACUUCUGGGCAUCAGGACAACUUACACACCAAAAUUCAAACUCCAGUCCACAUCACCUCUGAUGACCUUUGAAUUCCUGUGCCAGAAACCCUUGGAAGACAGCAUGAGAAAGAGGAUUAACUGCAUGGGUCCUUACAUUAUUGGUGGCUGCCUCUUCAACCAAAGUGCCUUCAGAAAAGCGUGUGGGUUUGGGUGGUUGGUGUUCAGGAAGUGGGUAACUCAGAAUAAAUUAUAUUGGGGGGGGUCUGUCCUGUCAAUACUGACCAAGAAUCACCUUUGAUGAAGGCCCUCGUGUUAGGGAGUUGUGAGCUGUCUCAUGAGAAAGUCUUGUUGGCACUUGUGGUGAACAGUCAUGUCCUGGGUAAGGGAGUGCAGAGCAUGCGGGGCAGAGAGAAGCCCAAGCUCCAUGAGAGAAACAAAAGAUCAAAAGCAGUGAAAAUUACCAAAAGAAAUUAUGGUAAAGCAGUUAACAUUGGGAUGUUCACUAUUUUGCUUGUGUUCCUUUUCCAGUAGCCGAAAAGCAGUUUUGCCCUUCUGUCUCAAUAAAGCAGUGGCCCCAAAGAUGCCUUUCCCAAGCUCCCCAAAGUGCCCACAGCAUUAAAAAUCUGCACAAUUAACUGCUGGUUUACAGAGCUAGAACUGACCCAUUUUGACGAAGGGGAUCAGAGAGUGUGCCAGAGAAACUGGAGGUGACGGCCAGUGUCCCAGCUCUUUCAUUCCAGAAAACUGCAGGAACAAAUAGUUCCAGCAUGGUUAUCCUCACAAAGAGAAGUGGGGAGCAGUGGAGAGAGGUGCAUGGUGAGGAGGAAAGACAUUUCAAUUCUCUCUUCCCUUUUGUCACCUCAACUCAGUAACACCUUAUGUAAUGGGCUUGGGUUUUGUUUAAAUUUUGAGACUGUGAAAGUUUCCUGACUGCAAAACAGUAACAAUAAGAAGUACUUGUGAUCUUUUGAAAUUAUUUUUCUUUUUAGUUAGAAAAAAAAGAUAUAUGCAGAAAAGUCUGUACCAGAACAGCAAGUUAAAACUUUUUCAACAUAGAGUCAGGAUAUUUCUUUUUCCUAAUGUAAUAAAAGAUGUGACAAAACCA